AACGAACGCUGGCGGCGUGGAUAAGACAUGCAAGUCGAACGGGACAGACCGAGUAGCAAUAUUUGGAAUGUUCAGUGGCGAACGGGUGCGCAACACGUGGAUAACAUUCCGGAAAGCGGGGAAUAGCCCAGGGAAACUUGGAUUAAUACCGCAUGUGGCCGCAAGGCUAAAGACGGGGACCGCAAGGCCUGUCACUUUCCGAUUGGUCCGCGGCCUAUCAGCUAGUUGGCGGGGUAAUGGCCCACCAAGGCUACGACGGUUAGCUGGUCUUAGAGGACGACCAGCCACACUGGAACUGAGACACGGUCCAGACACCUACGGGUGGCAGCAGUCGAGAAUCUUUCACAAUGGGGGCAACCCUGAUGGAGCGACGCCGCGUGGAGGAUAAGGUCUUCGGAUUGUAAACUCCUGUCAUGCGAGAACAAGGUACUCAGGCUAAUAACCUGAUUGUUUGAUGGUACCGCAAGAGGAAGAGACGGCUAACUCUGUGCCAGCCGCCGCCGCGGUAA
rnacentral:rRNA from 1 species